CCUACGGGAGGCAGCAGUAGGGAAUAUUGCUCAAUGGGGGAAACCCUGAAGCAGCAACGCCGCGUGGAGGAUGAAGGUUUUCGGAGUGGAAACUCCUUUUUUUAGAGAAGAUAAUGACGGUAUCUAACGAAUAAGCACCGGCUCACUCCGUGCCAGCAGCCGCGGUAAUACGGAGGGUGCAAGCGUUAUUCGGAAGCACUGGGCGUAAAGAGGGCGUAGGGGGGAUUGCAAGUCAGAUGUGAAAUCCUAUGGCUUAACCAUAGAACUGCAUUUGAAACUGUUAUUCUAGAGUAUGGGAGAGGUAUGUGGAAUUCUUGGUGUAGGGGUAAAAUCCGUAGAGAUCAAGAGGAAUACUCAUUGCGAAGGCGACCUGCUAGAACAUAACUGACGCUGAUGCGCGAAAGCGUGGGGAGCAAACAGGAUUAGAUACCCCUGUAGUC
rnacentral:rRNA from 1 species